AUCCCCUGUCGGCCUUUUGGGCUGCAGGGGAU
rnacentral:sRNA from 1 species